CGAAAAGAUUCCAGGCAAACUGUCACUGCCAAGUAGGCAUCUGCCUACCUGCAUGGCUCCCUUGGCUGCCUGAGUUCAUAAGCUCCACUCCCAAAGGUGGCUUCCCGCCAAAGCUGGGAGCUGGCUACCCAAUCCUAACUCGAUCUCAGUCUCCCAUUAAAGCCCCAUGUGCUCGGGAGCAGCUUUGCAAAUCGCUAAUGGUUUCUUUUUUCGGGAAAAGAGAGAGGCAGGCCAGUGUAGCAGCCAGCUGACUGACAGAAAUCCACAAAGCUGGCAGCCGGCCCGGCCCAGAAGACAAAAGGGUCUUUGGUUCACCUGUCAAGACUGUGCUCCUUCCUCAGGUCUCUUCCCGUGGAGCUUAUCUGAUUCCUCCAGCCAGUUCCAGCAGCUGAAGAACCAUACCCCACCUGCUUACCUGACAGUCUGAAAUGGGAAAAUAGAUGAUGGGAUCUUAUAAUUAAAAAACAACAACAACAACAAAAGAAAACCAAACUCAGCAAGUACACAUCAUUAGCAGGAAGCACGUUGGUCCCAAGAGUGGUGAUUAGGCAUUUAAAGAAAUAAUAAGGAUGGAAAACUUGAAAAUUGUACAGCAAAAAACAUUAAAAAUAAUCACUGGCCAAUUUUGUAAAGUCAUUGACUUGCAAGCAGUUUGAUUUAUAACAUAAAAGGGCCUUUUAAAAAAAUUAACAGAUCAAUGUGCUGUGAAGUUCCCUAGUCAUUCUUCCAAGGAGGCAAUGUAGGCUGAAUCAGGAAAGACU
rnacentral:lncRNA from 1 species